UUUUUAAGCAGUGCUUAGAGCAUAAAUUUCGCUAUUUAUAAGACUGGCACAGAUGAUCGGAGAACCUUCAAAAUCAAGGCUGGACGCCAAAAAAUCCAUUACACCUUCUUCCAAUUUGAGCAAGAUGAAGUUUAUGCAAAGAGUCCAGGAAAAAAAAGAAAAAAGUUUACUUCCAGAACAAGAGAACGAAAAUGCCGAAGAGUGGUCCUCUGUCAGCGAUGAAAUGGUUGUCUCUAUCGAAGAUUCGACAACAUUUGUCGGUGGCAUUGGCCGUCGUUCAUUUGGAAACUAUAAUGUUCUAUCGGCUUUGUCUGGUCCAAAGUAUGCUGCAAUCGAGGAGUUAUCCCCAGAUAUUCACGAAUUAAAUGACAGGUUUUAGAAGGCUCAACUCGGAUGAGGAAAAAGAUACGCGUAACACCAUAUCUACUAUAAAGCAUGUACUAGAUGUGUGCAGUACAACAAAGCAUCAUACAACAUACUUACCUCAUCCAAGAGGAAUCAAUAUGUCCUCAAUUUUUAUCAAAAUUAUACAGUUCCCACAGCCUGUCAAAAUUGUCGACUUCUUCAAAUCCAUGAUUG